UUUAACUUGCAUUAAAUUACUCACUGAACUUUAUGAAAUUGCACUCCGUUAUUCACCGAGCAACUUCCGUUACUACCCAUAGUCUACGUGGAUAACGAAAUAUACAUGUGGCCAAUUAAAUAUCUCCAAUUCAGAACUCAAAUGCCAACUCAUUAAAUCACAAAACGCCUCAAUUGAAAUCGUGAGGAUGAAAUCCUUAUUUCGCAAACGCAGAGGUGACAGACCUCCAUUACUCAACCGCUUCACUUCUGCAAGAACUGCUGGAGUUACUGACCGGCGGCGGCUCUAGGAAGAUCACUAGCCGCAUCUCCUCCUCCUCCACCUCUUCUUCCCGAAACAACCACCCAAUACACUUAGCGCCUCCUCCACUGCCUCCACGACGAUCGUGUCUGGACCAUUAGCAUCCACUUCUACUACAGCUGUAAUCACUAAAUCGUUUCCACUGAAGGCAUAAAUUUAAGGUGGCCGGUUUCAAAACUUAUUGUACUGAAUCAAGUGGAGGGCAAUUCACUGAUAUGCUCAAUGGUCUGAGCCCAACUUGUUCAAAAAUGCAGUCAAGAGAAAUGGUUGGUGAACAAGAUCCGUGUUCAGGUCAUAAUAUGGACCUCAGUUGAUGGUAAUGGAGGUAGACCAUCUUUGACAUUCAACUGGUGACCAAGCAAAUUGAUCUUGAAAUGGGAGUGUGUGCAAGAUACACAAAAUCAAAUUUGGUGAUUGGAGAAAUGGGAUUUUGUUUGAAGUGGCGAAAAGGGAAGAAUUACAAAUUACAAAACCUCAAAGAAGACAAAAAACUGAAGAUGUUUAUAUAAAAAGCGAACCCAAAAUUGCAUAAUUUCAGAACAGUUUUUAAACAAAAUUAAAGAACCCUUGA
rnacentral:lncRNA from 1 species